GGGGAUGUAGCUCAUAUGGUAGAGCGCUCGCUUCGCAUGCGAGAGGCACGGGGUUCAAUUCCCCGCAUCUCCA
rnacentral:tRNA from 1 species